rnacentral:rRNA from 1 species
UACGAAGGGGGCUAGCGUUGCUCGGAAUCACUGGGCGUAAAGGGUGCGUAGGCGGGGCUUUAAGUCAGGGGUGAAAUCCUGGAGCUCAACUCCAGAACUGCCCUUGAUACUGAAGGUCUUGAGUUCGGGAGAGGUGAGUGGAACUGCGAGUGUAGAGGUGAAAUUCGUAGAUAUUCGCAAGAACACCAGUGGCGAAGGCGGCUCACUGGCCCGAUACUGACGCUGAUGCACGAAAGCGUGGGGAGCAAACAGG